rnacentral:rRNA from 1 species
GACGAACGCUGGCGGCGUGCUUAACACAUGCAAGUCGAACGGAAAGGCCCUGCUUUUGUGGGGUGCUCGCGUGGCGAACGGGUGAGUAACACGUGAGUAACCUGCCCUUGACUUUGGGAUAACUUCAGGCAACUGGUGCUACUACCGGCUAGGAGCUCCUGCUGCAUGGUGGGGGUUGGAACGUUUCGGCGGUUGGGGAUGGACUCGCGGCUUAUCAGCUUGUUGGUGGGGUAGUGGCUUACCAAGGCUUUGACGGGUAGCCGGCCUGGGAGGGUGACCGGCCACAUUGGGACUGAGAUACGGCCCAGACUCCUACGGGAGGCAGCAGUGGAGAAUAUUGCACAAUGGGCGGAAGCCUGAUGCAGCAACGCCGCGUGCGGGAUGACGGCCUUCGGGGUGUAAACCGCUUUCGCCUGUGACGAAGCGUGAGUGACGGUAAUGGGUAAAGAAGCACCGGCUAACUACGUG